rnacentral:hammerhead_ribozyme from 1 species
AUCCAGCCGAAGAGUCCCAAAUAGGACGAAACGCGCGUCCUGAAU